CCCAGAGUGGUGUAAUGGUAGCAUCCCUAGUUGACACAUGGUAGAACACAUGCUAGGAGGUGUAUUAAACCAUGCCCUUCGGGGGCCAGGGGACCCGGGUUCGAUUCCCGGCUUUAGGA